rnacentral:lncRNA from 1 species
CGCCAUUCCUCACCAUCCUUGAGUUCUUUCCUCCAAAUCUUUCAAGUUUUUCACAAGCUUUUGCUUUGUUUUGAAGAUUUUCGAGUUUAACGCAAGUUUUGGAGCUUUAAGGUUCAAGAACUCAAAAUCUCCCACCUUCGAGUUUAGGACGUCUCUCUCUCGAUCUUCAAGAGGUAAGAGCCGAUCUUAAGCUCAUUUCAUG